GUCACAAUUCAUUUACACAAAAUCUCAAACACUCAAAGUAUCCAUGUUAAGGCGAGAAACGAGUUACUCGAGAAAGAUGUAUGAAUCAGUGAACCUUUAUACUUUCUUUGUAAUUUUUACAUUCUAAAUGCAAAUUUACUUUCCAUAAGUCUUUAUUUUCUAAAGCAUUUACAAAUUCUGCAUUUUAUUGGUUCUCUCGUUCGAGUGAACUUACUU
rnacentral:lncRNA from 1 species